rnacentral:lncRNA from 1 species
GAGAUUCAGAUACCAUUGCCUAUGUCAUGAAAUCAGAGUCCACAAGAAGACAACAUAAAAUGCUAUCGAUCCAUCGCUGUUUCUCGCUUCUGUUAUAAAUUAUGGAUACAAACAUAGAUGAAGAUGAGAAGUAGAAGGAGAAGAAACAUUUAGCUUUCAAGGAGUCGUAGAGGAGAGGAGGAGACAUGGCUCAGACAUGUGGGUUCAGCUCUGGAGAUAGUAGAUGGUCUCUCAAGGGAAUGACUGCUCUUGUAACCGGUGGAACUAAAGGAAUUGGGUUGGUGUUACCUGUUUUUAUGUCUUUGGGUUUGGACUAUACCUCCCUAUAUAUAAACGUAUGUAUCAAUUCUGCAGGCAUGCAAUUGUGGAGGAACUGGCUGGAUUAGUAGCAACCAUACACACGUGUUCUCGAAAAGAAACCGAGCUCGAUGAAUGCUUAAAGGAUUGGAAAGCUAAAGGUUUUGGAGUGAGUGGUUCAGUGUGUGAUGUAUCCUCUCGGGCCCAAAGGGAGAAGCUAAUGGAGACUGUGUCUUCUGUGUUCAAUGGGAAGCUGAAUAUCCUUGUAAGUUCCUCUAGUCUCUAAGGUUCCUAUCCAUGAUAUUAAUUCCACAUACUUCGUCGAACUUCCUACAAUUUGAGUUCCCCUACUUGAUAUAUUUUAUUUAUUUAUUUUUUGGUUCCGGAUUCAGGUCAACAACGCUGCUAUUGUUAUUCAGAAACCAACAGUAGAGGUCACGGCAGAAGAGUUCUCAACAAUCAUGGCCAUAAAUUUUGAAUCUGUGUAUCAUCUGUCCCAACUCGCACACCCCCUUUUAAAGGCAUCAGGAGCGGGAAGCAUUGUGUUCAUCUCCUCUGUUGCAGGCGUAGUGUCACUCAAGUAUCUGUCUGCUUAUUCAGCGACCAAAGGUAUUUCAUUACAUGAUCCACAUUAUAUAUAUAUAUAUUGCAAGUUCUUGGGUUGUGGCCCUUGUGGCCUUCUCGGCGUGUCAUUAUCAUUAUCAUUUUGUGAUUUUUCAGGAGCAAUGAAUCAACUUACAAAGAAUUUGGCAUGCGAGUGGGCGGAAGAUAAUAUUAGAAGUAAUGCAGUUGCUCCUUGGUACAUCAAAACUCCGAUGGUGGAUCAGGUAAUUCAGUUGCUCUUCUGUUUUGUCUGGGAAAAUUCAAUAAUCAAUUCCUCUCUCUUUUCUGUCUUUUGCAUAAUCUGGGUUGCAGAUGCUCAGCAACAAAACCUUUCUGGAAGGGGUGAUAAAUCGAGCUCCACUUCGCCGUGUGGGAGAUCCGAAGGAGGUGUCAUCUUUGGUGGCAUUCCUCUGUCUACCAGCAUCAUCUUACAUUACUGGACAGACUAUUUGUGUCGAUGGUGGCGUGACUGUUAAUGGUUUUGAGCCAAACCUGUUAUAGGAACAUCAUUAAGACUCAAAAAUCUUAGCUUCCUCUACCGCUUUCCUGUUUGGAUCCUGUCUUUUUCCUGAAUAAUCUGUUUGUGAUGGUAAGUACUCUUCUGUUUUUUCGGUGUGGGGUUCAUCUGAAAACAUUGUUGCAUGAUGCUUAUAAUAAUCGUUGGAAAGUUUGUAAGAAGUUACUUAUCAUUGGAUGAGAUUCUUGUGAUGAGUGUUUCCUAUAAUCAGAUUUAUCUUGUUAUAAGGUUGUUGUUGUAGUAGUAACUGCAAUUCAAAGGAAAUUAAUUUAGUAUAAUACUGUAGGUUGUUGUCUAGUGUCUACUACCUCAGCUUCUCAUCCCACCCAACUCUCCCUCUUUAACUACCUAAUAUGAAAUUAAAAUAUGAAUUUAACAACCUGUCCGUCUUGUCCACCGUUUCUUUGGCUCUUCAGUCUUCAGACUUCGGCCUUUUAAAGCAGGACCUAAAAGGUUUGGGCCCAAAUGUUGGAAAAACUUAACACAGGCUGCAAUUUUGGGCCCCAAAACUCUUUCCAACUGGGCCUGAACACUUUUAGGCCCAAGAUGCUUUAGAUUUUGGACUCGCAGACCAUGUAUAUGCCCUCAACACCACCAUGCUUUACUUCAUCCCUUCCUUUCAAAUUAAAAGGAAAUUCAAAUUUCAUGAUGUUACAACUUGCUCAUUGAUGUACAUUCCCAUUCACAAAAAAUAAAAUAUUAAAUGCACUUAUCCAAAAUAUCUUCAUACCUACCUAUUUUUAUUUUUAAAAUAAAAUUUAAACGUUGAAUAACAAAAAUACCAUUUUUGUCAUCCUUACCCUUCACCCUUCCGAAACCCUAAUCUAAUCUUCCCUUUCUCUCUUCUUUCAUUUUCCAUCUUCUUAAAUGGGAAAAUAACGAUCAUCAGAGCCCACCGUGACUUGUGACAGGUUCGAUCCCUUAACAAUGACGAGGCCAUUAUGGAUAAUAUAAGGAUAAGCAUUACAAUAUUUCACUCCUUCACGUGCAUCUCCCUUCACACAAAGAUGCUUCCUUCACUCAUUUUAUAUUAAUAAUAUGAUAAAUUAUACAAAAAAAAAACAAUUUUUUUUUUAUCAAAAUUGUUUUCAACAAUAUUUCAAAUAUAUAUAUAUAUAUAUAUAUAUAUAUAAAUUUGGAAAACUUGUAUUUUGGAGCUGCUAUUUAGAAAUUAUAUAGUUUUCGGAACCCAAAAAUGAGAAAUAUGAUAAUCAAAUUUUAAUAUGAAAAGUAUUAUCGUUUUUGUGCACUUUGAGUAGACUUCAUCUUUUGUGCCCAAAUGGCCCCUCCAUGUCUCCAGCUCAGCAUUCUUAGCAUCAUCCCAACCUUUGUGUCAGUAGAACCAUUGAAAUUAAGAAAAAAAAAAACACAAAAAUCUAAAUUUGUAACUUCUCAAAAAAAAAAAAAAAAAAACCCAAUCUGCAAGUUUUCAAUUUGCUCAUUUGGAAAACAUUUUUUUUUAUAAAUAUCAAUAUUAUUUUUAAAAAAUGGUGACUUUUAGCUUUUAAUUAAAACUAAGAACAAGAAGUUAUUCCAAAUAUGACUUAUGUAUUUAUUCAGUGAAAGUAAUUUUUUCAUUUAAAAAAAGUAAUUUCUUGGUGAUAAAAAGAAAUAUUUUUUUAGUAGCUUUUCGAUGCUAUAAAAAAAGUGUUGGCUAAGUUUGUAUGAUAAAAUUGGUGUUAUUUAUAUACCAGCACUUUCGCUAGGGUCUUAUUUAUUGGGAAAACUGAUUAAUAAACUAAUCUUCUGUUUUGUUUUCAGUUCAAAGAGUGGUAGAGUAGAGGAGGAGGCAUGGCUCAGACAUUUGGGUGCAGCUCUGGAGAUAGUAGAUGGUCUCUCAAGGGAAUGACUGCUCUUGUAACUGGUGGAACUAAAGGAAUUGGGUUGGUGUUACCUGUUUUUAUGUCUUUGGGUUUGGACUAUACCUUCCUAUAUAUAAACGUAUGUAUCAAUUCUGCAGGCAUGCAAUUGUGGAGGAACUGGCUGGAUUAGGAGCAACCAUACACACGUGUUCUCGAAAAGAAACCGAGCUCAAUGAAUGCUUGAAGGAUUGGAAAGCUAAAGGUUUUGGAGUGAGUGGUUCAGUGUGUGAUGUAUCCUCUCGGGCCCAAAGGGAGAAGCUAAUGGAGACUGUCUCUUCUGUGUUCAAAGGGAAGCUGAAUAUCCUUGUAAGUUCCUCUAGUCUCUAAGGUUCCGAUCCAUGAUAUUCCACAUACUUUGUCGAACUUCCAACAAUUUGAGUUCCCCUACUUGAUAUAUAUAUUUUGGUUCCGGAUUCAGGUCAACAACGCUGCUAUUGUUAUUCAGAAACCAACAGUAGAGGUCACGGCAGAAGAGUUCUCAACAAUCAUGGCCAUAAAUUUUGAAUCUGUGUAUCAUCUGUCCCAACUCGCACACCCCCUUUUAAAGGCAUCAGGAGCGGGAAGCAUUGUAUUCAUCUCCUCUGUUGCCGGCGUAGUGUCAAUCAAGUAUCUGUCUGCUUAUUCAGUAACCAAAGGUAUUUCAUUACAUGAUCCACAUUAUAUAUAUAUAUAUAUAUUGCAAGUUCUUGGGUUGUGGCCCUUGUGGCCUUCUCGGCGUGUCAUUAUCAUUAUCAUAUUGUGAUUUUUCAGGAGCAAUGAAUCAGCUUACAAAGAAUUUGGCAUGCGAGUGGGCGGAAGACAAUAUUAGAAGUAAUGCAGUUGCUCCUUGGUACAUCAAAACUCCGAUGGUGGAUCAGGUAAUUCAGUUGCUCUUCUGUUUUGUCUGGGAAAAUUCAAUAAUCAAUUCCUCUCUCUUUUCUGUCUUUUGCAUAAUCUGGGUUGCAGAUGUUCAGUAACAAAACCUUUCUGGAAGAGGUGAUAAAUCGAGCUCCACUUCGCCGUGUGGGAGAUCCGAAGGAGGUGUCAUCUUUGGUGGCAUUCCUCUGUCUACCAGCAUCGUCUUACAUUACUGGACAGACUAUUUGUGUCGAUGGUGGCGUGACUGUUAAUGGUUUUGAGCCAAACCUGUUCUAGGAACAUCAUUAAGACUCUCAAAAAUCUUAGCUUCCUCUACCGCUUUCCUGUUUGGAUCCUGUCUUUUUCCUGAAUAAUCUGUUUGUGGUGGUAAGUACUCUUCUGUUUUUUCGGUGUGGGGUUCAUUUGAAAACAUUGUUGCAUGAUGCUUAUAAUAAUCGUUGGAAAGUUUGUAAGAAGUUACUUAUCAUUGGAUGAGAUUCUUGUGAUGGGUGUUUCCUAUAAUCAGAUUUAUCUUGUUAUUGUAGUAAUAGGAUUGAAAGAAAAAUGCAAAUAAUCAUAAAAGGAUGAUGAAAAUCGGGAAGAGUUCAUCAUUUUUACUUAUUCAAAUAUUACACCAUCUCUUAUUUACAAUAAAUUUCAAAGAGUGUAAGUGAAACCAACCUUAAAUUAAUUUUGUUUGAUAAAUUUAGAUGAAAUUCAACAAGUGUGAAUCUUUAAUUUUUUUUCAUUUCAAUUAAUUUGGUAUCUAUUAUGAGGUUGCCCAUCAAGCUAAAAAUGACCAAAUAUGAUAUAAGCAUGAAGUCUUUGUUAUAUCUCGGAGAUUAAGAAUUGAUUCCAAUACUUUAUAACUUCCUCUUUUUACUUUAUAUAUCCAUGAAUUUAAGAUAGGUCCCUCACAUGUUUAGCUUCUCCCCUUGACGUACGUAGUGUCAUAUGGACAAUAAUUAAUGCUUGUUCAGCUAAGGUCAAAUAUAUGAAAACAAAUAAGAUUCAUUCACGUAAAACAUACAUGUAGCAAAGAGACGAAGGAAAGUGGGUUCUGUGAUCUAUCACACAUCAUGGAAAAAGCUGUGGUACCAUGGCUUUUCCAGGACUUUUCCUUGCAUAAUGGUACUGACAACAGUAUGCUAUUCUGUUGUUACUCUUAAGAUAUUUUAAUAUAAAGUAGCGCGUAUGUACUAUAUACAAUUCAGUGACGCCAUCUAACACGUUAGCCAAUAAGGUUACAAAUUUUAAUUUUAUAUUAAUAAUAUGAUUUGGGUAUGCUCCAUAUUUUAAAAUAUAAUUGAAUCAUAAAUAUCUAGAACUAGAAAUCCUUUUGAGGGACCAAUAACAUAAAUCAUUAAAAUUUUAUAAUUUGAUAUUAUAAAUUCCUAAUUAAAUUUUAAAAUAUAUUAAAUUUAUUUGAUAUAAAUAUAUAUAAAAAUAAAGAAAAAAAUUAAUAUUUUCAUAUGAUAAAUUAUACAAAAAAAAACAAAUAUAUUUUUUUUUAUCAAAGUUGUUUUCAACAAUAUUUCAAAAAUAUAUAUAUAAAUUUGGGAAACUUGUAUUUUGGAGCUGCUAUUUAGAAAUGAUAUGGUUUUCAGAACCCAAAAAUGGGAAAUAUGAUAAUCAAUUUUUAAUAUGAAAAGUAUUAUCGUUUUUGUGCAUUCUGAGUCGGCUUCAUCUUUUGUGCCCAAAUUGCCCCUCCAUGUCUCCAGCUCAGCAUUCUCAACAUCAUCCCAACCUCCAUGUCAGUAGGACCAUUGAAAUUAAGAAAAAAAAAAACACUAAAAUCUAAAUUUGUAACUUCUCAAAAAAAAAAAAACCCAAUAUGCAAGUUUUCAAUUUGCUCAUUUGGAAGCUUUUUCUCAUCUUUUUCUCUCAUUUUAGUUUAGAAACUCAAAUCCAAAACUCUAAAUGUGAUAUGUUGUGGAAUUGUUUUCAUAGUCCUUAACAAGAUGCAUGCGGCAUGUACUGAACUUUAACCUAAUUCCUUCUACCAAUUUUUCUGGCCCCAAGUUACUAGGGACUAUGGCUCCGAUUGGGUGGUUUUUGAGUAGUCAAAAACCAUUUUUAAAGCUUAGUAAAAAAUUUUAUGCCCCUCAUUUUAUUUAAACAAUUUAUAACUUAAAAAAAUAAGAAAAUAAAAAAAAAUGUUUUUUUAAGCUUUAUUUUGACUUAUUCAAAAAGUUUUUUUAUUUUUUUUAUUUUUAUGUUUAAUACAUUUUUUAUAAUUUCAAUAUUAUUUUUAAAAAAUAGUGACUUUUAGCUUUUAAUUAAAACUAAGAACAAGAAGUUAUUCCAAAUAUGACUUAUGUAUUCAUUCAAUGAAAGUAACUUUUUCAUUUAAAAAAAGUAAUUUCUUGGUGAUAAAAAGAAAUAUUUUUUUAGUAGCUUUUUGAUGCUAUAAAAAAAGUGUUGGCUAAGUUUGUAUGAUAAAAUUGGUGUUAUUUAUAUACCUGCACUUUUGCUAGGGUCUUAUUUAUAGGGAAACUUGUGUUUAAUAUGCUCAAUUCUAUUUCUUUGUAUGGCUAUGCAAUUGUUCAGAUUUGGCAACACUAAUCAAUAAAUGUACGUUAUAUUUGAAACAUUGGAAUAAAAAAAAGAAUAAGAGUUAAUUUUAUUUUCAAUUUAUUACUAUAUUUGAAUUAUUUUUUACAAUGAUAAUAGAAUUAAAAAGAAAAUCACUUAGUAACCCUUAGGUACUACCUUAAUAUACCUUAAAUAACCUUAAUCGAUCUUAGAUAUUAUCUUAGUUACACUUGGGUACUACCUAUGUGAAGCCUCAAAACUUCAUUUGUAGACAUUACUUCAUGUGUGAACAUUAGAGAUGACAUUAUGUGCACCUUUAAUAAGUGUUACUAAGGUAGUACCUAAGGUACAAUCAACACUAUAUCAAAGGUGCACAUAAUGUCAUGCUCUAAUGUUCACAAAUAAAGUAAGUAAUGUUUACAAAUGAAGUUUCCAGGCUUCACACAGGUAGUAUCCAAGUCUAAUUAAGUAGUACCUAAGGUCGGUAAGGUAGAUUAAGGUAAUACCUAAGGGUUACUAAGGUAGUACCUAAGGUACAAUCACCACUAUAUCAAAGGGGCACAUAAUGUCAUGCUCUAAUGUUCACAAAUAAAGUAAGUAAUGUCCAUAAAUAAAGUUUCGAGGCUUCACACAGGUGGUACCCAAGUUUAACUGAGAUAAUACCUACAAUUAGUUAAAAUUAGUACCUACAAUCAGUUAAGAUAGUACUUAAGAUAAAUUAAUGUAGUACCUAAAGGUUACUAAGGUAGUACCUAAAGGUUACUAAGGUAGUACCUAAGGUACAGUAAAUACUAAAGAACAAUAAAUAAAAAUUAAUUACCUUCGUAUUUCGAGUAGGGGUUAGGGAAAAAUGUGACAGAAUGACAGGAAGACGAGACAUUUUUUUUUAGGAAACCAAUAUUUUGGAUUUCACCUUUUCGUCCAAGUACGCUUUGCUAUAGAAAAAUCAAUAUCAUAGUUGCGCCUAUUGAAACCAUCUUUUAACUGGACGUUCUUAGGAUGGAGUGCUCCAUUUGGUUGUUGAGAAUUUAGACAAGAAAGAAAAAUGCAGGUUGGAGUUUUGGAUUAAGGGUUUCUUUUCUCAAAUUGAAGAAAUUUUAGGAAAUUUUAAAUGGGUUUUAGGAUCGUCUGGGUGAUAAAGCCAAGAGAAAUAGAGAAAGAAAUGUUUCCAACCUUUAAGAGGAAAAAGUUUCAGAUUUGGGAAAUUUGAGAUGGUUCCCGGGUCAAGUGUUUUUUUGUGUUUUAGAUUUGAGAAGUUUCAAAUUCUUGGAGAAGAUAUAAAUAUGUAGAUUUGAAUUUUAAGGGUUUCUUUUUUGAAAUGAGAGAAAUUUUGGAAAAUUUUAUAGGUGUCUUUCUAAUUCGGCUAGGUAAGGAAGUGAAGAGAGUUGAGAGAAAAUGUUCCCAAAUGAGAGAGAUGGAAAGUUUUUGAUUUGGGAAAUUAGAGGUGUUGUCAGGAUGGGUGUUUAUGAGAACUUUCAAAUUCUAAUUUUUGUGUUUUGUUUAAUUUCAGAAGGUCUUGUUGACAUGAAAAGCUGACUUACUGCUGACAUGGAGACAUUGAGGGACAAUCUGGGAAUAGAAAAUGUAAACAUGACAUAGUGCAUGAGAACGAUAAUAUUUUCUCCAAUAACAGGGAAAUAUCAUAUUUCAUAUACUUGGGGUUCGAAAAGCAUAUAAUUUUCAAAUCACAGACUGAAAACACAAGUUUCCCAUAAAUAUACUUAAAGCAUGUUUGAUAACAAUUUUGAAAAAUAAUUUUCGAAAAUAGUUAUUUAAAAUUGUUUUUUGAUGUUUACAACAUAAAAAAAAAAAAAAAACAUGUUUGACAACCUAAAAUAAUUUUUAUAUCUAAUAUUUUAUUUUUAAUAAUUCGAUAUAUUUGUAUAAUUAUUUUUAAAAAUAGCUGUAAAAAAUAAGUGAAAACAAGUAAAGAUGUUAUCCGAAAACAUUAUAUUUUUUAUUUUUAAAAACAAAAAAUAGUUUUUCUUAUUCUCAAACAAGUUUUCCUGUUUUUUACGAAGAAAAAAUUAUUGUCAAACAAUCCCUUAUAUACUUGUGUUUUAUCAAGUGGUGAAAUAUCUUUGUAUGAAUUAUAUAGCAACUCAUAAGAGUAAGAGAAAAAGAGACAAUUUUAAAAGUGCAUAUGACAAGUGGAAAUUAUUAGAAAAGAGGCAAUUUUAAGAAUGGAUUUGAUAUGUGUCACAAAGACCACUAAAAUUUGGUGUGAAUAUAUAAAUAAGUUUUAAAUUUUGUUGAUUAACAUAUCUAUAAAUUUUUUUAUUUAUAAAAUUUAAUUUUUAGAGAAAUUUUAGAUAAAAAGAUUUUAGAUCUAUUCAAUCAAAAAUUGAAAGAGUAACUUAAUGUAUUUACUCUAAGCCUCAUGGUGUGUGAAUUAAACCAACCUUCAAAGAAAAAUAGAAAAAAAAAAAAGUGAAUCAUAAUAAAAAGGAAAGUAGUCAAAAUCAAAAGGAGAAUCAAAUUUGAUUUCCAUAUUAGUGAUUUUUUAAAAAAAAUUCUAUUAUCAUUGUAAAAAAUAAUUCAAAUACAUUAAUAAAUUGAAAAUAAACUUAACUCUUAUUCUCAUUUCUUAUUCCAAUGUUUCAAAUAUAACGUCCAUUUAUUGAUUAGUGUUGCCAAAUCCGAACAAUUGCAUAGCAAUACAAAGAAAUGGAAUUGAGCAUAUAAAACACUUUUUUUUUAUAGUAUCAAAAAGCUACUGAAAAAAAUAUUUCUUAUCUCCAAGAAAUUACUUUUUUAAAAUGAAAAAAUUACUUUCAUUGAAUGAAUACAUAAGCCGUAUUUGGAAUAACUUCUUAUUCUUAAUUUUAAUUAAAAGCAAAAAGUCACAAUUUUUUAAAAAUAAUAUUGAUAUUAUAAAAAAUGUAUUAAACAUAAAAAAACCUUUUUGAAUAAAUCAAAAUAAAGCUUUAAAAAAAACAUUUUCUUGAUUUUCAUAUUAAGUUAUUUUUUAAGUUAUAAAUUAUUUAAAUAAAAUGAGCAGCAUAAAAAAUCUUAUAGAGCUUUAAAAAUGGUUUUUGACUACUCAAAUCCACCCAAUCGGAACCAUCAUCCCGGUAACUUGGGGCCAGAAAAAUUGGCAAAAGGAAUGAGGUUAAAGUUCAGUACGUGUUGCAUGCAUCUUAUUAAAGACCAUAAAAGCAAUUCCAUAAUAUAUCACAUUUGGAGUUUUGGAUUUGGGUUUUUAAACUAAAAUGAGAGAAAUUUUGGGUUGUCGAAAGCGAAGAAAGAUGAGAGAAAACUUUCAAAUAAGUAAAUUGAAAACUUACAGAUUGUGUGUGUGUGUUUUUUUUUUUUUUUUUUAAAAAAAGUUAUAGAUUAAGAUUUUAAUAUUUUUUUUUUCUUAAUUUCAGUGGUUUGAUUGAUAUAGAGGUUGAAAUGAUGUUGAGGAUGCUAAGCUGGAGACAUGAAUGGGCAACUUGGGCAUGAAAGAUGGAGCCAGCUCAGAGGCAUAAAAACGAUAAUACUUUUUAUAUUAAAAAUUGAUUUUCAUAUUAAAUUUUAUACAUCUAUUUUAAAACAAUUAAAAUUUUAUUCAAUUUUCAAUUAUAAUAUAUGCACUGCCUCUCGCGGGUCGAUACUGCUGACGAGUGCAUGAAAUUAUUAUAAAUAUCUCAUGGAAUGAGGACAGAUUAAAGAAGAGGAGAGAGAGAGAGAGAGAGGGAGAAGAAGAAGACAACCAAAAAAGAAAAGGAAGACAGCAUUGUAAACAUAGAAAAUGGAAAGUAUUGGAAAUAUUUCAUGAAAUCGGAGUAAACAACAAAACAAAAUAAAAUACUUUUAAUCCCUGUUUCCUACUUCUGUCAUAAAGUAUGGAUAGAGAUGAGACGAAGGAGGAGAAGGAGGAGAAGGAGGAGCACUCAGCUUUCACCGAUACUGCAGUGUGUUGUGGUGGUGUAGCAUAUGGUAGGAUGUCAUUCUUGCUCCAAAAGUGUGGGCAGAUCCAUUUUUAUUUUCCUUUUUUCAUCUCUGUCCUCACUGAUUCGUUUUGGGUAUCCAUCAAUAUUUAUCAGUGGGCUUGGUGUUAGUCAAAAGCCACCAAUUUUUCUUUCCUUUUUUUUUUUCCCAUAUAUUAGAAUGAAAUGUUGUUGUCCAUUUUAGGGGAAGGCGUUAUGCUGAACUGAACUGUGCGAGGGGAAUGAAAAUUAAUUUAGGGGUUUUCUUCCUCCUCUAUUUUUGGCUCUCUUUCAUGAGGGUACAGAUUCUCUUUUUUUCUCUCGGAGUGUUUGGAUUGUUUCAUUCCAUUUAACUAUUUUUGCAGCAUAUUCCGAGUGUUAUAGGUAUUGGGUAAUCAGUAAUACAGAAAAUGUAAUAUAAUUUUGUACUAUGUAGUUUUGGACUUGGGGUAGGAUGAGUUUAAUUUAUGUAGAUUCAUGUCACUAUUCUCAGCCUUCAAUGCAUUGAUUUCUCCAGAUUUUGAUAUAUAUAUAUAUAUAUAUAUACAAACUGCAAUGGGAAUAAAAAGGAUGGUUGUUUCUUCAAGAAUUCUGAGAAAAAAAAAGGGGGUGGGGGGGCAAGAGAGGUUUGAGGAGGCCAUUGGGACUGUUAUCAGUUCUGUGUCUUUUGUUUUCAAGUUGUAAGAAGUCCCUGUUAUGCCAUUUGCUAUGUUGUUUCUGUCCAAUUUUCAGUUGAAAGAGUGGUAGAUUAGAGAAGGAGGAAUGGCUCAGACAUCUGGAUGCAGCUCUGGAGAUAGUAGAUGGUCUCUCAAGGGAAUGACUGCUCUCGUAACUGGUGGAACUAAAGGAAUUGGGUUUGUGAUGUUACCUGUAUUCUAUGUCUUUGGUUUGGACUACACCUUCCUUCCCAUAUAUAAAUGUAUGUAUCAAUUAUGCAGGCAUGCAAUUGUGGAAGAACUGGCUGGACUAGGAGCAACCAUACACACAUGUUCUAGAAAAGAAACCGAGCUCAAUGAAUGCUUGAAGGAUUGGAAAGCUAAAGGUUUUGGAGUGAGUGGUUCAGUGUGUGAUGUAUCCUCUCGGGCCCAAAGGGAGAAGCUAAUGCAGACUAUCUCUUCUGUGUUCAAUGGGAAGUUGAAUAUCCUUGUAAGUUCCUCUAGCCUGUAAAGUUCCAACCUGUGAUCUUAUACAUAAUUUGUUGAACUUAUUACAAUUGAGUUCCCCUGCUUGAAUUUUUGUUGGAUUCAGAUCAACAAUGCUGCUAUAAGUAUUCAGAAACCAACAAUAGAGGUCACAGCUGAAGAGUUCUCAACAAUCAUGGCCACAAAUUUUGAAUCUGUGUACCAUCUGUCCCAAAUCGCACACCCCCUUUUAAAGGCAUCAGGAGCCGGAAGCAUUGUAUUCAUCUCCUCUGUUUCCGGCAUAGUGGCACACAAGAAUAUCUCUGCUUAUUCAGUAACCAAAGGUAUUUCAUCACAUGAUCCAUGGUAUAUUCCAAGUGCUAGGAGUAAAUUCCUAUUUACCAGAGCAAUACUGAACAAGAGAAACAUAUAGAAUUUAUAGCGGUUCUCUUCUAAAGGGAGAGCUACAUCCAUUUUGCCAUUGUAGAUUUUCAUUAUGAAAAAAAAAAAAACCUACAGAACGAUCUCAGGUCUUACAAUAAUUAUCUCAUCUCUGAUUUUCCACAGAGAAAACAGUCACCAUGCAUGUACAAAAUAACUAUAAUAUCCCUUUGAUUGAUUCUCAGUCACCAGGAAAAGUGUAUAUUGUAAUUAGCAAGGCUCCACACAACUGAACAGCAAGUCCUUGGAUUGACCAUCUGUCAUUAUCAUUUUGUGAUUUUUCAGGAGCAAUGAAUCAACUUACAAAGAAUUUGGCAUGCGAGUGGGCGAAAGACAAUAUUAGAAGUAAUGCUGUAGCUCCUUGGUACAUCAAAACUCCAAUGGUGGAGCAGGUAAUUUCUAAUUUCCCUUCACAUCAUUUAGUUGCUCGAAUUCCCUUCUUUUUUUCUUGGUCUGGGAAAAUAGAAUAAUUGACUCGUCCUUCCUUCUCUGUCGUUUACAUUCUCUGGGUUCCAGAUGCUCACUAACCAAGCCUUUCUGGAAGAGGUGAUAAAUCGAGCUCCACUUCGUCGUGUGGGAGAUCCAAAGGAGGUGUCAUCUUUGGUAGCAUUCCUCUGCCUACCGGCAUCAUCUUACAUUACUGGACAGAUUAUUUGUGUUGAUGGUGGCAUGACUGUUAAUGGUUUUGAGUCAAACCUGCUCUAGGAACAUCAUAUGUGAUGGUAUUAUAGCCCUAAUUUGGCUGGCAUGUAUGGAGACUCUUUCAAACAUCUUAGCUUCCUCUACUGCUUCCAUGCCUGGAUCCUUUCUUUUUCCUGAAUAAUCUGCUUGUCAUGCCAAAGUCUUUAGUUUUUUUGGUGUGGGGUUCCCUUGAAAACCUUGCUGCAUGAUGCUUAUAAUAAUGUUUGGAAAGUUUGCUAAUUUUUAUUUGGGUUCAAAUUUUAAUUUUUCAAAAAGUUUCUUAUUAUUUGAUGAGAUUCUUGUGAAGGGUGUUUUUAUAAGGAUUUUAAUUCCAUACAUAAAUCAUACAUCUUUAAUCUCAAUACCAUUGAAAUAUAUAUCCAAUCCUUUGUUGUUCUUUCGUUUUUUUGUAACUUAAUUGUAGUAGGAUCGGAAAUAUGCGAACACUUUCUACUUUUGACCAUUUGCUUUGCUAAAUUAGACCAACUUUUCAUAAUACAAUUCUCAAGUAUUUCUUCAUUUUCAUUACAAUGAUCAUGCAUGGAUAUGGAAAAACUAAUCGGACUCUAAUGUCGUUCAAAUGCAUUUCAUAGAUCAAUCUUCAUCGUCGUAUCCUAAUUUUCAAAACUUGUUAGAACUUCUAAACUUAGUCAAUAUGUAUAGACAUGAUAUCCUCCAUGAUUUUUUUUUAUUGCAACGAAAAAAAGUUAUACAUUCUAUAUUUGAUCCCUAAAUAAAAAAGAAAAAAAGAAAAAAAAAAGAAUGUCUUGCAAAAAUAUUAGGGUUGCACAAAGUUUGGUUGUUAGAAUAAGUAAAAAUGAUGUGCAUCAAAAUAUGUCUUUGAGAAUGGCAAAUAUGUGAGUGCGCUUUAAAAACUCAAAUGGCUUCAAAUGAAUUUCAAGGAAAUGAUUCCAACAUAUAUUCAUCUUCUUAUACCUUUCUGUGCUUCUCCACCAUUUGUAACAAUUUCCUCACUCAUUUGUAAUCCUAAUAAACCUUCCGACCUAUUUUAAAAUUUGUCAAUAUAUUUUAAGCUAAGCUCACCAUCUAUAGUAUCAAAAAAAUUUCUCCUUAAUCCAUGUGGGAUAUGUAUAAUGAAUAAUAUUUGCUCAAAGGUUAAAUAUAUGAAAAUAAUUAAGAUUCAAUCACAUAAAAAUUACAUAUAGCAAGUAGGGAUAACAAUUUUGAUACUAAUAUAAUAAAACGACUAAAAAAUUACAUGGAUUUUAGUAGUUUUGGGUUAAGUAUAAUCAUAUUUAUGUUAUAAUUGUGUAAACACAUUUAUUAAACCAAUGAUAUUGGAAUGUGACUAUUCAACUCAUUUAACCCAUUUAUUUAUUCAUAUCAAAACACAUCUAUGAUAUGAUUAUGAGAACUAAUUUAUGAUUGACAUAACCAAUUUAUAACUUAUUAAUUAAUUCAUAUAAAUUUAUUAAUUUUAUAGAUAUUUAAAAAAUAUUAAAAAUUUAAAACACUUUUUCAAUUAUAAAGAUGUCCUAUAAAACACUAAGGAGGUCACCCUUAUUUAUAUAUGAAAUUAGGGAAUUAAAUUUGAAAUAUAUGAUAUUUGAUUACUUAAUUUAAAGAAUUUGAUUUCUUAAUUUCAAUAACUUUUCAGCCUCAUUUAAGAAAUUUGCCAACAAUCAAAUGUUUUUUCUAAGUCCCUUUUGACUUCAAUUUCCCAAUUUGUUUCUCCUAUUUGAGAAAUCUAUCAAUAAGAAAAUAUUUCUCUCUAAUUCCUUUUUAACUUUAAUUAUUUUAUUUUAUUUUAUAAGACUAGAUUUUGAAACCGUUCAAAUUUUACCGUGUGUUAUUUUUAAAAUCGUAUAUCGCAUGUUCAAUGUGUAGAAUUCAUGACUUAUGAAAUCCAAAUUUUAUUGAACUAUAGGGUUAUAACUUUAGUGACAAAUUUUAUAGUAAUUUAAUCCUUCUUUUAUUUUUAAGCCUACAUAGCUCAACAAGUUGAAUAUAUUUUUAUCGUGUUAAUGGGUUAUCAGUCUUGAUUUAAUUUAAUUUAUCAAAGAGGUUAAAUGAAUGAUUCCCAAUUUGCCACCACAAUAACAAGAGACAACAGACAGAAGGAAAGAGAAACUAAAAUACGUAAUGUGACUUUUCCUUUCAUGUUGCUUACUAUACUUGGUGUCUCUUAAUUUGUUUUUAUUAUAAGAUGUUAAUAAUAUGAUUUUAUUGAUUUAUACCCCAUAUAUAUCAUUUGAGGGAUUGAAAAUAUUGCAAAUUCAUAAUUAAAUUUAAAAGAUAAAUACAUAUACACACACACACAUAUAUAUAUAUAUAUAUAUAUAUAUAUAUAUAUAUAUGAAUAAAAAAAAUCAUCUAUGUAUAAAAUAAUAAUAAGUAGUCUAUUUUUAUCAUUUUUAUGUUAGAAGUUAAUCGAAAACAUAUUUUUUGUUUUUCCAUAAUUUAUACAAAAUUAUAAUAAAAUUUUUAUUCUAGAUAAAAUUAUAUUUUAUAAUUUGUAAUAAUUUAAUUAUAUCAAUUUAAUAUUUUGAUAUCCGUCGUAAAUUAUAUAGAAAUAUUGGAGUGCAAAUACUAAACUACAUAAUAACAACAAGACACCUUAUUCAUCCAAAUUUUCAAAUUUCAAAUAGAAAAUAUUAAAAACAUAAUUUUUAAAUUUAUUAAAAUAUUUAUAUUUGUAAAAAAGUAAUUAAUAAAGAUUUUAAAAUUUUAAAUAUGAUUAAUGAGAUUAUUAUGUGGGUAUUUAUUACUAAUAUUUAAUAUUAAAAAAAAUAAAAUAACAAUAUGAUAUUAAGAUUAUAUUUUUAUAAAUAUAGCAAAAUGAGAUUAUUCUAAAUUCAGUGAUGAUAACAUUAUAGUAAAAAUAAGGAGUGAUAUAAUUAUAAAUAUUUCACUAAGAGCAUAAAAAAUAAAAAAAUAUGGUAAAUUUAGCGAGUAAUAUUGUUACUAUAAAUAUCUGGUGACACGACGACAGAUAUAUGAGUAGAGAAAAACCUCGCUAUUCUACAUAUAGAGAUUCAGAUACCAUUGCCUAUGUCAUGAAAUCAGAGUCCACAAGAAGACAACAUAAAAUGCUAUCGAUCCAUCGCUGUUUCUUGCUCCUGUUAUAAAUUAUGGAUACUAGAUGAAGAUGAGAAGUAGAAGGAGAAGAAACACUUAGCUUUCAAGGAGUCGUAGAGCAGAGGAGGAGACAUGGCUCAGACAUGUGGGUGCAGCUCUGGAGAUAGUAGAUGGUUUCUCAAGGGAAUGACUGCUCUUGUAACCGGUGGAACUAAAGGAAUUGGGUUGGUGUUACCUGUUUUUACGUCUUUGGGUUUGGACUACACCUUCCUAUAUAUAAACGUAUGUAUCAAUUCUGCAGGCAUGCAAUUGUGGAGGAACUGGCUGGAUUAGGAGCAACCAUACACACGUGUUCUCGAAAAGAAAGCGAGCUCAAUGAAUGCUUAAAGGAUUGGAAAGCUAAAGGUUUGGAGUGAGUGGUUCAGUGUGUGAUGUAUCCUCUCGGGCCCAAAGGGAGAAGCUAAUGGAGACUGUCUCUUCUGUGUUCAAUGGGAAGCUGUAUAUCCUUGUAAGUUCCUCUAGUCUCUAAGGUUCCUAUCCAUGAUAUUCCACAUACUUUGUCGAACUUCCUACAAUUUGAGUUCCCCUACUUGAUAUAUAUAUAUAUAUAUAUAUUAUAUACUUUUUUUUAGAACCAGACAGCUUUGGUUUCAAAGACCCUACAUUUACCCAUCAUCCUUGUUAAAUAAUUAUGAGGAAGUCAUACUUACACGUGGAGAUUGAAAAAAAUAAUGAAUGAAUUCCACCAAAUGAAUUAAUUUUGUUUGGCAAUUUCAUUUGAAAAUCAACAAAGAAUGAUGUGAGGUGUGAAUCUUUUUCCAUAUAUCAGCGCACAUAUUCAAAUUCAGCCCUUUCCAUUAAUCUGAUAGCGAUUAUGAGGUUGCGUAGAUGCUACAACAACGACCAAAUGUGAUGAAGAUUUCAGGAAGUGUUGUGAAGAAUUUGAAGAAAAAUAUGAAGAAUUUGAAACAAAAUAUGGAGGAACACCUCAAUUCAUUCUGUGAUACCUUCCUUUACAAUGAAUGAAAGCAUAAAUAAAUAGCCUACGGAUAUGAGACAAUUCCGGAAUGGAAUUUCCCUUACAUGGAAAGUGAAUAAACUCUUACAUGGGAAGUGAAUAAACUACUCUUACAUGGAAAGUGAAUAAACUACCUUGCUAGAAUUACUCCUAAAUAUAUAAACUACUCUUACAUGGAAAGUGAAUAAACUACCUUGCUAGAAUUACUCCUAAAUCAAUUAUAAUAAAGGCUGUACAUUACACUAAUUAGGGAAGUAAACAGAGGAUGCUGGCUUGAUUUCCAACACUCCCCCUCAAGCCGCAUUGUAGAUGUUGAUCAUUCCAAGUUUUUCUGUCAGAUCUUCGAAGUUAACUCGAGCAAGAGCUUUUGUGAGAAUGUCAGCCGUUUGACAGUUUGUCGGAGUGUAGCUGACUUUGAAAACUCCUUCUUCAAUCUUUUCCUUGAUAAAGUGUCGAUCUAUCUCCACGUGCUUAGUUCGAUCAUGAUGAACCGGAUUCUUAGCGAUACUGAUGGCAGCUUGAUUGUCGCAGUAUAACACCAUGGGAUGCUUCAAUGGAACCCGUAAUUCUUCUAACAGCCUGUUCAACCAGAUUCCCUCGCAGAUACCUUGUGCCAUAGCACGAAAUUCUGCCUCAGCACUGCUACGGGCUACCACUGACUGUUUCUUGCUUCGCCAUGUAACCAAGUUCCCUCAGACAAAUGAACAAUAGCCUGAAGUUGAUCUCCGAUCAGUCACUAAACCUGCCCAAUCUGCAUCUGAAAAAAUCUCUAUCUCUUUAUUUGUUGUUCUUUGAAAGAAGAGACCCUUUCCCGGUGUCAUCUUGAGGUAUCUCAAUAUUCUGAUCACAGCAAUCAUGUGUUUUUCGGUUGGAUUAUUCAUGAAUUGACUUACCACACUAACGGAGAAGCCGAUGUCUGGCCUUGUAUGAGAAAGAUAGAUGAGUUUCCCCACAAGACGUUGAUAUCUUCCUUUAUCAACUGGCGCACUUCCAUCACAUUUCUUCCANNNNNNNNNNNNNNNNNNNNNNNNNNNNNNNNNNNNNNNNNNNNNNNNNNNNNNNNNNNNNNNNNNNNNNNNNNNNNNNNNNNNNNNNNNNNNNNNNNNNNNNNNNNNNNNNNNNNNNNNNNNNNNNNNNNNNNNNNNNNNNNNNNNNNNNNNNNNNNNNNNNNNNNNNNNNNNNNNNNNNNNNNNNNNNNNNNNNNNNNNNNNNNNNNNNNNNNNNNNNNNNNNNNNNNNNNNNNNNNNNNNNNNNNNNNNNNNNNNNNNNNNNNNNNNNNNNNNNNNNNNNNNNNNNNNNNNNNNNNNNNNNNNNNNNNNNNNNNNNNNNNNNNNNNNNNNNNNNNNNNNNNNNNNNNNNNNNNNNNNNNNNNNNNNNNNNNNNNNNNNNNNNNNNNNNNNNNNNNNNNNNNNNNNNNNNNNNNNNNNNNNNNNNNNNNNNNNNNNNNNNNNNNNNNNNNNNNNNNNNNNNNNNNNNNNNNNNNNNNNNNNNNNNNNNNNNNNNNNNNNNNNNNNNNNNNNNNNNNNNNNNNNNNNNNNNNNNNNNNNNNNNNNNNNNNNNNNNNNNNNNNNNNNNNNNNNNNNNNNNNNNNNNNNNNNNNNNNNNNNNNNNNNNNNNNNNNNNNNNNNNNNNNNNNNNNNNNNNNNNNNNNNNNNNNNNNNNNNNNNNNNNNNNNNNNNNNNNNNNNNNNNNNNNNNNNNNNNNNNNNNNNNNNNNNNNNNNNNNNNNNNNNNNNNNNNNNNNNNNNNNNNNNNNNNNNNNNNNNNNNNNNNNNNNNNNNNNNNNNNNNNNNNNNNNNNNNNNNNNNNNNNNNNNNNNNNNNNNNNNNNNNNNNNNNNNNNNNNNNNNNNNNNNNNNNNNNNNNNNNNNNNNNNNNNNNNNNNNNNNNNNNNNNNNNNNNNNNNNNNNNNNNNNNNNNNNNNNNNNNNNNNNNNNNNNNNNNNNNNNNNNNNNNNNNNNNNNNNNNNNNNNNNNNNNNNNNNNAUGCAUGAAACGUAGGUGAUAGCUUAUCAUAAGAAAAUAAAAUUUCCAAAUGGGAUGCUGAGUGCAUGAUCUAACUCCUUUCCUCCAAGCUAUGGGCAUAUUAAGAAUAUCAUUUUCUAACUCGGAAUCAACAGUACCAUCAGGAGCGUUGUUACCUGGAAGUUUGCUUGGAUUAGGACCCGGUUCUGCCUCAUGGGUUUGUUGAGAAAGUGAUCUUUCCUCCGUUUCCUCUUGGAUGUGCUCCUUAUCCCACAAGUCAACAAUGGACUCGGGUUGAUUAAAUGACUCUGGAGGAAUGUGAUUUUCAGUGGUGAUGGGUGACUCACUGAAUGACUCAAGAUCCCAAAAUUGAUAUUCCUGAGUUGAAUUCUCCCCCUGAAUAUCGUUUUUGGGAUAGUAAGGCUGGGUUUCAAAAAAGGUGACAUCCAUUGAAUUUUAGAAUUUUCUUGUGACCGGAGAGUAACACUUAUACCCUUUUUGAUUUGAAGAAUACCCAAGAAAGAUGCACUUGAGUGACCUAGGAUCAAGUUUACUUCUAUGUUGUUGAUUGAUAUGAACAAAGAUAGAGCACCCGAAAAUUUUAGGUGGGACGGUGGAGAUGAGACGAGUAGUCGGAAAGGAUUUUAGGAGUGUUUGACAAGGUGUUUGGAAUUUUAGUACCCUAGACGGCAUCCUAUUGAUGAGGUAGGCUGCCAUAAGGACAGCUUGCCCCCAGAAUAAUUUUGGAACAUUCAUGGAGAACAUUAGUGAUCUAGCCACCUCUAACAAAUGCCUAUUUUUCCUUUCAGCGAUUCCGUUUUGUUGUGGGGUAUCAACACAUGAAUUUAAGUGAACUAUCCCUUCUUGUGCUAGAAAUUCUCCUAGAAUGGAGUUGAAAUAAUCCCUAGCAUUAUCAGACUUUAGAAUUUGUAUUUUUGACUGGAAUUGAGUCUGAAUCAUAUUUUUAAAAUUUUUGAAAAUUUGACUCGUUUCAGAUUUUUCUUUCAUGAGGAAUACCCAAGUUAAUCUAGUGUGAUCAUCUAUGAAUGAGACAAACCACCUAGUACCAGUUACAUUUUUUAUUCUUGAUGGACCCCAGAUAUUGCUAUGAAUCAUUGAGAAUGGACUAGACUCUUUAUAGGGUUGAAUGGGAAAAUGAGACCGGACUUGCUUUGAUAAUUGACAGAUUUCACACUCAAAGGAUUUUGGAUUUUUAUUAAAUAAUGAAGGAAAUAAAUGCUUGAGAUACAUAACAUUUGGAUGACCUAAGCGAUAGUGCCACAACCUAAUUGCACUAUCGUUAUUUUGACAUGAAACCAAAAAAGAAUUACUACCAACUGUCAUUUGAGGUUGUUCUUGUGGAUCGUGGCGCUCCUUAAGGAUGUAGAGUCCAGAGCAUUCCUCAGCAUUGCCAAUCGUCUUCCCCGAAUCCAAAUCCUGAAAUUCACAGUGAGUGGAGGAAAAAUUAGUAGAUACACCUCUUUUCCUUAGUGAGUUUACUAANNNNNNNNNNNNNNNNNNNNNNNNNNNNNNNNNNNNNNNNNNNNNNNNNNNNNNNNNNNNNNNNNNNNNNNNNNNNNNNNNNNNNNNNNNNNNNNNNNNNCGUCAUAUGAUCAGAUGCUCCUGAGUCCACUAUCCAAGGUUUUUUACGUUUCUUACCAGCAGUGAAGGCACUCAAAAAAUUACCUUUGUGAGCCAAGGUUCCGGAACCAAUGACCUGGUUGGAAGAUGAGCCAGUUUGUGACUGUACUGACAAAAGAGGAGACAGUAGUUUCUGAAGCAUCUCCAUCUGAUGAGAGGAUGAAGACGAUGAGAUGAUGAUAUCAGAAGUAGAGGAUGAUGAGUUGGUAGCCAUUCCAAAGGCUGGACCGUAUUUAGGCAUAAAUUAGAAGAAUAGAAUUGAGUAAAAAAAAACUGACUAAAGAUGAAGACGAUGAGACAGGAUUAAACCUGCUCUGAUACCAUGAAGAAUUUGAAGAAAAAUAUGAAGAAUUUGAAAACAAAAUAUGGAGGAACACCUCAAUUCAUUCUGUGAUACCUUCCUUUACAAUGAAUGAAAGCAUAAAUAAAUAGCCUACGGAUAUGAGACAAUUCCGGAAGGGAAUUUCCCUUACAUGGAAAGUGAAUAAACUCUUACAUGGGAAGUGAAUAAACUACUCUUACAUGGAAAGUGAAUAAACUACCUUGCUAGAAUUACUCCUAAAUCAAUUAUAAUAAAGGCUGUACAUUACACUAAUUAGGGAAGUAAACAGAGGAUGCUGGCUUGAUUUCCAACAUGUUGGAGUGCGCAUGCUUGAGGAUGAAAACUGUGAACUUGAAAUGACUUAGAAGAUUAAUUUAAGUUUUCAAAUACAUAAAAUAUAAUUAAUAACAUAACUUAAUACAAUAAGUUAAGGCUUCCUAAAGUCUUAAAAUAAAUAACUUUUUCCCAACCUGAAAUAUCCUUUGCCUUGGUAAUAUUCAUGUUCUUCAAGAUCAAAAUUAGUUUGUUUGAUAUAUAAUUCAAAUUAAAAGAUGGAGGGUGUGCCGGGUCCUUUCUAAAUUCAAAAUGGCAUCAUGAAUCAGGUAAGGUUGUGCCCCACGGAUGAAAAUAUAGUAUUAGUUUGGACAAUGUGCCAUGGAAAGAAGAUAGAUUAAGUUCUACAUAUUCAUAUCAGUUGUCUCAGCUUUCACGGCAGACAUUUUCGACGCAAGAGACCGUCUCUUGCGGUGAGUAUUAACCACACUUCUAAAGUUGGAUGUUCGAGAAGACAACUGGGAUUGAUCAGUUUUGUCUCUUUUAUUUUCAGCUUCCUAGAAUCUCUCUCUCUAUCUCUCUUUUUUUUUUCUCAAGGUUAAUGUCAUUUUCUAUGUUGUGGUAGAGUAGAGAAGAACUCAGAAGGCAUGGCACAGACUGGCUGCAGCAAUGGAGAUAAUAGAUGGUCUCUCAAGGGAAUGACAGCCCUUGUAACGGGUGGAAUGAACUUUGAUCUGUCUCUGCCAAUUAUCACCUUGUUUUUAUAUCAAUUCUGCAGGCAUGCUGUUGUGGAAGAACUGACUGGAUUAGGUGCAAGAAUACAUACAUGUUCUCGAACAGAAACUGGGCUUAAUGAAUACUUAAGGGAUUGGGAGGGUAAAGGUUUUGAAGUCACUGGCUCAGUCUGUGAUGUAUCCUCUAGGGCCCAAAGAGAGAAGCUAAUGGAGACAGUAUCUUCUAAGUUUAAUGGGAAGCUGAAUAUCCUUGUUAGUUCCUCUAGUUUGUUAAAUGUGACCCAUCCAUUUUAGAAUCAUUUUCACUAAAUAUAAUUGAUGAGUUACCCUAACUGAAUCUUUGAAUUUAGAUCAACAACGCUGGAACUGGCAAACCGGGACGGACAGUGGAGUUCGCAGCUGAAGAGUUCUCAACGGUCAUGGCUGUAAAUUUUGAAUCUGUGUAUCAUCUAUGCCAACUUGCGCAUCCCCUUCUGAAGGCCUCAGGAGCGGGAAGUAUUGUGCUCAUGUCUUGUGUUUCAGGUGUAGUAUCACUCAAGUAUCUAUCUGCCUAUGGAGCAACCAAAGGUACUUCAUGCCACCAUCGGGUUUAUGUUGCAGGUCCUGUGUUGUUGGACAAGAUGAUAGAUAUUUACCUUUAAAAUUUUUCUUUCGGGGGCACUGAAUCAGCUUGCAAAGAACUUGGCAUGCGAGUGGGCGCAAGACAAUAUCAGGACAAACUCUGUUGCCCCUCGGUACAUCAAAACUUCUCUGGUAGAACCUGUGAGUUUAAUUCCCUUCACCUCAUUUAAAAGUUGCUGUUGUUUUCAUUGGGAAAACUGAUUAAUAAACCAAUCUUCUGUUUUGUUUUCUUUUAUUUUUUUGGUUGUAUCAUUUUGGUUUCAGUUUCUUAGUGAGAAAAGCUUUACGGAAGAGGUAAUAAGAAGAACUCCGCUUGGUCGAGUGGGGGAUCCAAAGGAGGUGUCAUCCUUGGUAGCAUUCCUCUGCCUACCAGUAUCAUCUUACAUUACUGGCCAGACCAUUUGUGCUGAUGGUGGGAUGAAUGUUAAUGGUUUCGAUCCGAGUCAAUGCUAGAAACAACUAGCAUUUAUAUAAUUGUUGUUUUCUCAUAUUUUUCAUACUCACUCUAAUAUUCUUCAUUAUCAUAUUUAUAUAUAUAUAUAUAUAUAGAUAUAUAUAUAUAUUUAUGUAGGUGUACGUGCACACGUGUGUUCAUGUGCGGAUCAUGGACAUUUUUUUUGUAUUCUGUCAUAUUCUUCUUACACUCUCAAAAUAUUCAUAUAUUUUUUACAAUCUUCAUGCAUUUUUUUUUUUUAAUUCUUGAUAUUCUCUCAUAUUCUUUGUAUAAUUUAUAUUGGAAAAAUGAAUAAAAAAAAUAUGGUUUAAAAUUGAUAAAAUAAGAAUAAAAGAUAUAAAAAUAAAAUAAAAUGAUAGAAAAAUAUCAAUAUUAGAGGAAGAUAUACUUGGAUAAUUAGACGCUAAAACCUUGAAGAUGCAAACAUAGUAUGUGGCUAUUUAAUGAGGAACUUAAGGAAUUUGUUCAAUAAUAGUAGCUACCAUGGGAUUAAAGGAUAGUGUAAACGAGUCCGAGGGAGAAACAAUUUUAAUAAAAAAUUAAUUAAAAAUUUAUAUAUUUGUAAUAAAAAUUUGAAAUAAGUUAAAUUAAUUUAAAAUGAUAUAUAAAAAUGAUUUACUGCUUUAAAUCUAUUUUUAUUUUUUAUUUUUUUUUCAUUUCUUUUUUACUUUUUCUUUAUAUAUAUAUAUAUAUAUAUAUAGAUAUAGAUAUAGAUAUAUAUAUUAUAUAUUUUUUUGAGAACCAGCCAGCUUUGGUUUCAAAGACCCUACAUUUACCCACCAUCCUUGUCAAAUAAUUAUGAGGAGCUCAUGCUUACAUGUGGAGAUUGAAAAAAAAUAAUGAUUGAAUUCCACCAAAUGAAUUAAUUUUGUUUGGCAAUUUCAUUUGAAAAUCAACAAAGAAUGAUGUGAUGUGUGAAUCUUUUUCCAUAUAUCAGCGCACAUAUUCAAAUUCAUCCCUUUCCAUUAAUCUGAUAGCGAUUAUGAGGUUGCGUAGAUGCUACGACGACGACCAAAUGUGAUGAAGAUUUCAGGAAGUGUUGGAGUGCGCAUGCUUGAGGACCAAAACUGUGAACUUGAAAUGACUAUUGAAUGCUACCAUAUGAAAUUCGGCCUGAAUCUUUUUCCAAUUCAAAUGCAGGCAGUUCCAUUAAUUUGAUAGAUAUUAUGAGGUUGCCUAUCAUGCUAAGAUAACCAAAUCCGAUGAGAAGUUCAAGAAGUGUUUUGAGUGUGUUUUAGUACUGACACCAUGAAUUCAAAAACAAAUAUAACAUAGAAACACAAAUCAAAACCCAUCACAUGAUGAUAUAGUCGAUAGGAAAUUUGCUUUCUUAAACCAUGCCACGUCCCAUGAAAAAGAAAAUUAAGAAAAUUACAAAUUUUACUUCGAUGGGCUCACAUGCUAUGUGAACCGUCCACUUAAUCGAGGUUAAGAUUAUCUUCAUUUACUUAGAAGAUAAUAAUGAAUUUUUCAAGUAAAAUUUUUUGAGAACCAGACAGCUUUGGUUUCAAAGACCCUACAUUUACCCAUCAUCCUUGUUAAAUAAUUAUGAGGAAGUCAUACUUACACGUGGAGAUUGAAAAAAAUAAUGAAUGAAUUCCACCAAACGAAUUAAUUUUGUUUGGCAAUUUCAUUUGAAAAUCAACAAAGAAUGAUGUGAGGUGUGAAUCUUUUUCCAUAUAUCAGCGCACAUAUUCAAAUUCAGCCCUUUCCAUUAAUUUGAUAGCGAUUAUGAGGUUGCGUAGAUGCUACGACGACGACCAAAUGUGAUGAAGAUUUCAGGAAGUGUUGGAGUGCGCAUGUUUGAGGACGAAAACUGUGAACUUGAAAUGACUUAGAAGAUUAAUUUAAGUUUUCAAAUACAUAAAAUAUAAUUAAUAACAUAACUUAAUACAAUAAGUUAAGGCUUCCUAAAGUCUUAAAAUAAAUAACUUUUUCCCAACCUGAAAUAUCCUUUGCCUUGGUAAUAUUCAUGUUCUUCAAGAUCAAAAUUAGUUUGUUUGAUAUAUAAUUCAAAUUAAAAGAUGGAGGGUGUGUCGGUCCUUUCUAAAUUCAAAAUUGCAUCAUCAAUCAAUCGGAUAAGGUUGUGUCCGACGGAUGAAAAUGUAAUAUUAGUUUGGACAAUGUGCCAUGGAAAGAAGAUAGAUAGAUUAAGUUCUACAUAUUCAUAUCAGUUGUCUCAGCUUUCACGGCAGACAUUUUCGACGCAAGAGACUGUCUCUUGCGGUGAGUAUUAACCACACUUCUAAACUUGGAUGUUCGAGAAGACAACUGGGAUUGAUCAGUUUUGUCUCUUUUAUUUUCAGCUUCCUAGAAUCUCUUUUUUUUUUUUUUCUCAAGGUUAAUGUCAUUUUCUAUGUUGUGGUAGAGUAGAGAAGAGCUCAGAAGGCAUGGCACAGACUGGCUGCAGCAAUGGAGAUAAUAGAUGGUCUCUCAAGGGAAUGACGGCCCUUGUAACGGGUGGAACUAGAGGAAUCGGGUCCGUGUUACCUGUUUUUCUGUUCUGGAAUGAACUUAAUUUGAUCUGUCUCUGCCAAUUAUCACCUUGUUUUUAUAUCAAUUCUGUAGGCAUGCUGUUGUGGAAGAACUGACUGGAUUAGGUGCAAGAAUACAUACAUGUUCUCGAACAGAAACUGAGCUUAAUGAAUAUUUAAGGGAUUGGGAGGGUAAAGGUUUUGAAGUCACUGGCUCAGUCUGUGAUGUAUCCUCUAGGGCCCAAAGAGAGAAGCUAAUGGAGACAGUAUCUUCUAAGUUUAAUGGGAAGCUGAAUAUCCUUGUUAGUUAACCUCUAGUUUGUUAAAUGUGGCCCAUCCAUUUUAGAAUCAUUUUCAUUAAAUAUAAUUGAUGAGUUACCCUAACCGAAUCUUUGAAUUUAGAUCAACAACGCUGGAACUGGCAAACCGGGACGGACGGUGGAGUUCACAGCUGAAGAGUUCUCAAGUAUCAUGGCUGUAAAUUUUGAAUUUGUCUACCAUCUAUGCCAACUUGCUCAUCCCCUUUUGAAGGCAUCAGGAGCGGGAAGUAUUGUGCUCAUGUCUUCUGUUGCAGGUGUAGUAUCACUCAAGUAUUUAUCUGCCUAUGGUGCAACCAAAGGUACUUCAUUCUACCAUAGGGUUUAUGUUGCAGGUCCUGAGUUGUUGGACAAGAUGAUAGAUAUUUACCUUGAUAAUUUUGCUUCAGGGGCACUGAAUCAGCUUGCGAAGAGCUUGGCAUGCGAGUGGGCGCAAGACAAUAUCAGGGCUAACUCUAUUGCUCCUUGGUUCAUCAAAACUUCUCUGGUAGAACCUGUGAGUACCCUUCACCUCAUUUGAAGUUGCUGUUGUUUUCAUUGGGAAAACUGAUUAAUAAACUAAUCUUCUGUUUUGUUUUCUUUUAUUUUUUUGGUUGUAUCAUUUUGGUUUCAGUUUCUUAGUAAGAAAAGCUUUACGGAAGAGGUAAUAAGAAGAACUCCGCUUGGUCGAGUGGGGGAUCCAAAGGAGGUGUCAUCCUUGGUAGCAUUCCUCUGCCUACCAGCAUCAUCUUACAUUACUGGCCAGACCAUUUGUGUUGAUGGUGGGAUGAGUAUUAAUUGUUUCGAUCCAAGUCAAUGCUAGAAACACCUAGCAUUUAUAUUAAUAUAUGUUGUUUUCUCAAAACCGCUUCUGUUUUUGGGAUUAUUUGCUCGUGAUAGUGACCUUGUGGUCCUAGGAUUAAUGCAUGGUUACCAAAUAUUAAGUCUAUGCUUCCAAUAAAUAUUAAAAAAUUUCUUAUUAUUCAAUCACGGAUUUCUACCUUCUUCUCCGGUCAUAGAUACUGUUUAGGUCUCCGGUGCAUUCCCCGCUCACCCACCUACAUCUGAUUGGUUGCAACGUUCAAUCACGGAUUUCUUAUUAUUCAUAUAUCUUUUAGUACAUUUUUUCAAAUUCUUGAUAUUUAUUCGUAUUAUUUGUAUAAUUUAUAUAAGAAAAAAUGAUUUAAAAUAAAAAUAUAUGGUUUAAAAUUGAUAAAAUAUCAUGAAUAACGUUUUACAAUCCAUAAGAUACAAAAAUAAAACAAACUGAUAGAAAAAUAUCGACAUUGGUUAAAAAUAAUUAAGUUAAUCGCGAGUAUAACUAAAUCAUCUCAACUUGAUGAAUGAUAAAUUCAUUUAUAAAAAAAUUUAAAAUAAAAAACCUAUUAAUUAUUGAAAAUUCAAAUAUGAUUUGAUAUAAAUGUUUUGUUAUGAAAUUUACAUUUGUAUGAAAAAAUAGUAAACUUUUCUUAAGGUUCGUAGUCCCCUGGAAACAUUUUUUAGUAUUUUUUUCGAGAGGUACAAAUUUCUUGCUUACUUUAAUAUAUUUAAGACACAAAAUUUGACAUAUAUAUUUGAUCCAUCAAUCAAAACUCCCAUCCCACACACAUUUUGUAAAGUUAGAGCCAUUAGUUUUUAUAUUCAAUUUUUACCUCUUUUUUUGCAUAUUUUAAUAAGAAUAAAUUAGAUGUUGUAAUUUCUUAUUUUAAAUAAGAGUAUGAUACCACAUUAAACGAUAAAAUAAAAAUUGUAUAUAUGUGAAAUAUAUGUCAUUAUUCAUCUUGAUAUGUAUUAUACUGUUUACCUCUUCAACAAGUUUUGUAAAAUUUUUUGUUUUGUAGUAAGUAAAGUGUGGAGAGUUACCCUCAAAGACAUGGGAUUUAAAAGAAAUAAGAAAAAGAGAAAAAUGUCAAAUAUUUCUUAUUAUAAUCACUUGAAAAAUAAGUCCAAUACACGUGGAGUUGAAAUAGGUUUACAAUCAAAGGAAGUAAAAGAAAAAAAGAUAAACUAAUCUUUCCUUGCUCCAAAAAAGAAAGAUAAUAAUGUUGAUGUGGUAAAUAAAUUAAUAAUUUUAACAUCUCCCCACAAACUCAUAAAACUCAUAAUGCGGUUGUAAGAAGUAGUGAGAGCUUAAAUAAAUUAACUUACAAUAAAAUGAAGUAAAAGAAAAAAAUUAAUUUACCCUUACUCGAUAAAUCUUUAGUAUAUUAUUAUUAUUAUUAUUAUUAUUAUUAUUAUUAUAUCUCAAAGUCAAGAUUAUGAACAUGAAAAUUAAACAUAUCGCGCUUCAAUCUUGACAAGACUAAUAUAAAGUGAGGUUUUCCCCUUCUUAUUAUUAAUAUUAUUAUUAUCACUACUACGAUAUCUUUGUUUACACUAAAAUCUUUUCUUUAAUGCCCUCAAAGUCAAGAUUACGAACAUAAAAAGCAUGUCACACUUCAAUGUUCACAAGACUAAUACAAAAUGAGGUUUCCUCCUAAAUUUAUUAUUACCAUUACAUAUCUUUGUUUACACUAAAAUCCUAUCUUUAAUACCCUAAAAGUCAACAUUAGGAACAUGAGAAACAUUUCACUAUUUAAUGUUGACAUGACUAAUACAAAGUGAGGUUUCCCUAAAUUUAUUAUUAUUAUUACAUAUCUUUGUUUUCACUAAAAUCUUAUCUUUAAUACCCUAAAAGUCAAUAUUAGGAACAUGAGAAACAUUUCACAAUUUAAUGUUGACAAGACUAAUACAAAGUGAGGUUUUCCCCUAAAUUUAUUAUUAUUAUUACAUAUCUUUGUUUCCAUUAAAAUCUUAUAUUUAAUACCCUAAAAGUCAAUAUUAGGAACAUGAAAAGUAUAUCACACUUCAAUGUUGACAAGACAUUAUACAAAGUGAAGUAUUAUUUCCAUAAUAUCUUUGCUUACACUAAAAUCUCAUCUUUAAUAUCCUUGAAGUUAAGAUUAUGAGCAUGAAAAAUAUGGCAUACUUCAAUGUUGACAAGAUUAAUACAAAGUGAGGUUUCUUCGUCAAUUUAUUAUUAUUACUACAAUAUCUUCCUACACUAAAAUCUCAUCUUUAAUAGCUCAAAGUUAAUAUUACAAGCAUGAAAGUUCAACAUGCCAUCCUCCAAUCUUAACAAGGCUAAUACAAAUUGUGAUUUCCCUAAUUUUUUUUCCAUUGUCUUUCUUUUUCUUGUACCUGUUGUGAUCGAUUUAGGUCACAAGCCAAAUAAUUGCAAGAAAAUGAACUCACACGUGAAAAUUGAGAAGGAUGAAAUAUUCUCUAACAUUGCACACUCUUAGAAGAAAAAUCAUUUGGUUGACAAUUUUAUUUGAGACUAACAAAUUGACGGAAGGACAUGAUGUGAGGCCAGCUUGUAUAUGCUUUUAUUCAAAUCUAGCCACAUGAUGAAUCCUACAAACUCCUUUCCCAUUUUUUUAUUGCAAUGUUUUAAAUGAUGCCACGUACCUAAAUUCUUGAAAUUUUGAGUCAGUUAAAGACAUGUCUGGAUGGCAUGGAGGAGAGUUAGGGGGCUAUUCGGCUUGUACCCCUUCAAAUUCAGCCUGCUCCAUUAAUUUGAUAGCUAUCGUGAGGUUGCCUAUGAUGCUAAGAUAACCAAAUGUGAUGAGGAUUUCAAAAAGUAUUCGAGUGUACUUCAGUACCAAAUCUGUGAAAUGAUUAUUGAAUGCUACCUAAUUUUGUUUGAAAUUUUCAUUUGAAAUUAAAUAAAUAAAUAUGUGAGGCCUAAAUCUUUUUCCAUCAUAUUGUACUCAUGUUCAAAGUCUGCCACUUCCAUUCAUUUGACAGCUAUAAUGAGGUUGUCUAUGAUGCUAAAAAUGACCAAACGUGAUGAUGAUUUCAAGAAGUAUUCCAGUAUAUUUUAAUUGGCAAUGUUUUAAAGAUAGGUAUCAUUCAUCCUAAAAAUUCAUCCAUUCAUGUUCAUUGCAUGGUCGAAAUGUUAUUAAACAACUAACAUUAUAAAUAUAUAAUUUAUAUUUUAUUAAAAUUAAAAAUAAUUUUUAAAAACUAAUAUGUAUAUAUAUAUAAUUAAAAACCAAUUAUAUUUAUUUUUUAAUCUUUUAUAUAAAUGUACUAAUAAUUAAAAUUUUAUUAAAUAAAAUAUGUAAAAUUUGAAAAUUGAAUAAAAUUUGCAUUAUAUAUAUAUAAAAGUUUAAAAGAUACUAGAUUAUUUUAUUCAUAUUGAAUUUCUGAAAUAAUAUACAUAUUUUUUUCUUUAGUUUCACAAACAUUAACAUUUGGAUAAGUAGCUGAGUAGUUGUUCCUGAAAAUGCUCAAGCACAUAUUAGCAAGAAUGAAGAAUUUGUUUCUAUUCUUUCAUAUUUUACAGUAGACCAAUGGCUAUAUAUAUAUAUUACAAUGUAACUAAUCUAACCAUCUAUUGAACUACCUAACCAUCUUCUAACUAAUCAUAACAACAUCUGUUAGAGAGGAGAAGAAUCAGCUGCUGGUGCGGGUGCUUGUCUAUCAUCCCCCCGCAAGCUGACAGGUCUUGGGACAAUAGAGAAAUGAGUACGAGCGGCUGAGAACUAACAGCUUGGAACAUAUUUAGUAAAGACAUCUGCCAACUGGUCGGUAGAAGGAACAUAUUGAAUUAAAAGCUCUUUGCGAAUGACCUUAUCACGGACAAAGUGAAGAUCAAUCUCUAUGUGCUUGGAACGGGCAUGGAAGACAGAGUUAGCUGCAAGAGGAGCAGCACUGAUAUUGUCACACCAGAUCAAAGGAGUGUUCGGUUGAGGAAUGCACAACUCUUUGAUCAGAAACUGAACCCAGGAGACCUCAACAGCGAGAAAAGCAAGUGCCCGGUACUCCGAUUUUGCACUACUACGAGAGACGACACGUUGCUUGGUAGAGGACCAUGAGAUGAGAUUGGUGCAAAAAAAAAAGACAAAAGCCACUAGUGCUUCUUCUAUCAUCGAGACAUGAAGCCCAAUCCGCAUCGGUAUAGCCUUGAAGAGACCAAGAUGGUGAGGCAUGGAUAGAAAGACCAUGAGUAGCAGUACCUUUGAGAUAGCGAAGUAUGUGUUUAGCAGCUUGCAGAUGAGAAGUGAUAGGAUGAGCCAUGUAUUUACAAGCUUGAUUUACUGCAAAUGAGAUUUUUGGUCUUGUGAGAGUGAUGUACUGAAGAGCACCCACAAGACUGUGAUAGUGAGUAGCAUCAAGAGCAGAUAAAGGUUCUCCAUCUGCUGCUGAUAACAAUUUUCCCAAAGCACCAAGUGUGCUAGCAGAUUUGGCCCCAAGAAGAUCAGCACGCUCAAGUAGCUGAUGUAUGUAGCGUUGUUGAUUGAGAUGAAGAACAUGAGGAAGCCGGGUGACUUCAAUGCCAAGGAAGUAGCUAAUAUCUCCAAGGUCUUGAAGAGCAAAAUGGGAGCUAAGCUGAGAAAUGAUAUGAUGGACCUGUGGUGGAUUGUUGCCAGUAAUGAGAAUAUCAUCCACAUAGAUUGAGAUGAUGAUAAUAUCAGAUGCAGAGUGGAAAUAAAAUAAAGAUGCAUCAGCCCUUGAGCAUUGGAAUCCCAAUUGUAAGAGAAAGGAGCUGAGCUUGUGGAACCAGGCUCGAGGCGCUUGUUUAAGGCCAUAGAGAGCCUUCUGUAGACGACAAACAUGAGUGGGGCAAGAGCUAUCUUCAAAGCCUAGAGGUUGCAUCAUGAACACCUGUUCUUAAAGAUCUCCAUUUAAAAAAGCAUUGUGGACAUCUAGUUGUUUAAUAGGCCAGUUGGAAGAGACAACAAUGGAGAGAACAAGCCUGAUAGUGCAAGGCUUCACAACUGGACUAAAUGUCUCAAAAAAAUCAAUGCCAUAGGUUUGAUGAAAACCUUGGGCAACCAGCUGAGCUUUGUACCUGUCAAUGCUGCCAUCAGGUUUAUGUUUGAGUUUGAAGACCCAUUUACACCCAAUAAUUUUGGCAUUAGAUGGAGGUGGCACCAAAGACCAAGUUUGAUUCUUCAAUAGAGCUUGAUAUUCUUGUUCCAUAGCAAGCUUCCAAUUAGGGUCUUGAAAAACCUGUUUGACAGUACGUGGCUCAGCUAUGAGUGAGGUAAGAUAGGUCUUCUUCUUAUAGAUACCAAAUUUGGAUCUGGUAAUCAUAGGAUGACUAGGAAUUGGAGCUAUGGAAUCCUGGAGGGAAGCAGUAGAAAUCUCAGCUGCUUCAUCCACAAAUGGCACCUGAAUGAGCGGGGGUAAAGACAAAAAGCUGGCUAGAGGUGAUGUGGGGGCAAGUUCGGAUGGGAUAGCCGGAGAAGAGCUGGUUGUGGAGGGGAAAAGAACAGAAGAUGGAGGAAAAAGAAAUGCUGGAGUGACAGGAAAAUGAGAUGAUUGGUGGGAAGGAGAAGUCAAUGCUUGAAAUGGAAAUGUAGUCUCUACAAAGACUACAUGCCUAGAGAUAUAUACUCUGCCAGUUGUAAGAUUAAGGCAAAAAUAACCCUUGUGAAAUGUUGCAUAACCAAGAAAGAUACAGGGUAUGGACUAUGGCUGAAAUUUGUUGGAGUUGAGAUGUCUGAGGUGUGGAUAACAAAGACAACCAAAGACUUUGAAAUGGAAAUAAUCAGGUGGGUGUUUGUAAAGAAGAGAAAAUGGGGAGCUGUAAUUGAGCAAAGGAGAAGGCAUGCAAUUGAUAAGGGUAAUUGUUGUAGUGAAAGCAUAGGACCAAAAUUUGGAUGGCAGGGCAGUUGUGUAAAGAAGAGUGAGCCCGAUUUCUACAACAUGGCGCAUUUUGCGUUCAACCCGACCAUUUUGUUCAGGUGUAUAAGGGCAAGAAAAUCUAUGGAGUAUACCAUGAAGAGAUAGAAACCGGAGGGUAGUGAACUUUCCACCAUGGUCUGUUUGAAGGCAUUUAAUGGUGGUCUGAAAUUGGUUUUCAACAAGAGUUUUAAAUUGAACAAAAGUGGAGUAAACCUGGUCCUUGGUGAGGAGUAAAUAUAUCCAUACAAACCUAGAGUAAUCAUCCAUGAGCAACAAAAAAUACCAGGCACCUGCGGAGGAAGGAACAGGUGUUGGUCCCCACAAGUUUGCAUGGAUGAGUUCAAGAGGAGAGGAGGCCCGGGAAGUGGACAAAGAAAAAGGAAUUUUGUGACUUUUGGCAUAACAACAAGCAUUGCAAACAUCAAUUGUUUUAUUUGAGUUAUAUGAAAUAUUACAUGUAUGAAAAAUUUUCUGAAGUAUUAUAGCAGAAGGGUGGCCAACUCGUUGAUGCCACAACAUAGUAGUGGGCUGAGUUUUUGUGAGAAACACUUGAUGUUUAGAAUUGGCAGUAGGUGAGUUGAUAGAUGAGGUAGGAAAUUUGUAGAGUCCACGUUCAAGUUGGCCUUGGAGAAGAGUCACUUUGGUAUCCUUGUCCUUGACAAAAAAUGAAAAAGGAUGAAAUUCAAGAAUGGUAUUAUUAUCAGUACAGAAUUUUGACACACUGAUGAGAUUUGAAGUGAGUUGUGGAACAUGAAGCACAUUGUGUAAAACAAAGGGUUUAGCAGAAAUGUGGAGAAAGGAAUGACCAACUUGGGUUAUGGGUAGGGACUUACCAUUGCCAACCAUCACAGAGUCAGUACCAUUGUAUGAAGUACCAUUGUGGAUAUUAGCAACUGUGUGGGAGAGAUGGUGGGUGGCGCUUGAAUCCAAAAACCAGGAGUCCGUUGAUGCUGGGGAAGGUGCUGCCAUCAUGGCUUGAGCAGGAGGAGUGGGACCAGUUUGAGAGGUUGAUGAGGCUGGUGCAUGUGGCCCUUGAUAAUUCACAUCAAAUCUGUGAUAACAAGAGAGGACCAUGUGCCCAAACUUGCCACAUAACUGACACUGUGGUUGGUUAUUUGUCCGGGAUCGAUUAUUGUUGAAUCGGUUAGGGCGAUAUCCUUGAGGAUGUUGCUGUCGUGAAUUUGGAAGAGUGUCAGGUCGUGGGGUUGGCAUGAAUGACUGAGGUGGUUUCCCUUGAGAGGGUUUGAUGGACUGUGACCUUCGUGGUCUGUUAUGAGUUGCAAUAUUGGCAAUGAGGAGGUCUUCUUCAGCAGUUGUGGUUUGAAGAUGCAGCCUCUAUUCAUGAGUCAGAAGGAUGCUAUGUACCGCAUGAAGUUGAAGGUCAUCAUCUCUAGCUGUGAGAGAAGCCAUGAUGGGGUUGUAUUCAACCCCUAGUCCACUUAGUAAUUGAAGAAUUUGAUCCUUUUCUGGCACUGGUUCUCCAAUAGCUGCUAGACUAUCAGAGAUGUGUUUGAGUUUUUGGAUGUAUUCCAUCAUGGUAAGAGGGCCUUUUUUGGUUGUUUGAAAAGCAAGUCUCAGCUGCAUUGUUCUUGCUUUGGUGGAAGCAGAGAAGCUUCAUUGGAGGGUUGUCCAUGCUUCAUGGGAUGUUCGUAGCCCAACAAUUUGGCCCAUAACAUCUGGAGUGAGAGAGGAGUAGAUCCAACUCAGGAUCAUACGAUCAUAUCUCCUCCAAACCAGAAAAUCUGGGUUCACUUCUCCGGUGGAUAUUAUUUUUGGAGGACAUGGUCUCAGACCUUCAAUAUAGUCCUCAAAUCCAUUGGCAUAUAUCACAUUUUCCAUUUGUGUAUGCCAAAGGAUAUAGUUAUCUCUAUCUAGUUUGAUAGGAAGAGGAUGGUUCAGCAUGCUCAUGUUCAGGGUAGAGGUUACCUGAGAAGAGACAAUCUCCGGCGUGGUUUGUGUUGAUGAAGCCAUCGGAAACUAGGUACAGUAUGUUCUUGAAGCUUUCUUGAGGUGAGUAAGAAAAGCAAAAGGUAAUCUGCAGAUGAUGUAUAUCAGAAGAAAGUUGCAGUAGAAAGAGUUGUUGGAGAUUUCUUUAUUGUCUUGCUGGGGAGAGAAAUCAAAAAACGAAAAUUCAUGAGCCUAUGGCUCUGAUACCAUGAAAAUGCUCAAGCACAGAUUAGCAAGAAUGAAGAAUCUGUUUCUAUUCUUUCUUAUUUUACAGUAGACCAAUGGCUAUAUAUAAAUAUUACAGUGUAACUAAUCUAACCAUCUAAUCAUCUAUUGAACCACCUAACCAUCUUCUAACUAAUCAUAACAGCAUCUGUUAGAGAGGAGAAGAAUCAGUUGCUGGUGCGGGUGCUUGUCUAUCAGUUCCAAGUUACCUUAAACCUUGAAAGGAUCAAGUCCUUUUGAUUUUGUUUAAAUAAGCUACUAAGCUACUGCUCACUCCACAUUGGAAAUUCAAGGGGAUGAAAAAAGGUUUAUAAAUCUCAUUCAUCUCCAACAGGUCACAUGGCCUUUAGGCCGUGGGAGGCAAUGCGGUGAGUGGGUCGUGUGCUCUAAAUGGAGGCCUAUUUUUGCAACAAAAGAAAGACCGAAACCAAACCAAGCAUGAACCAAAUCGGAUCAAGAUCCAGUCGACGGUCUGACUAGUUCAGUAGGAAUUUUUCAUAAUAUGGUUUAAUGGCAUGUAGAUAUUCUUUAGUCAAAGUUUUAAUAAGCCCAUCAAAAGUUGUAAUAUUUUAUGUUAUAAGUUAAUAGAGAAUAUUUUUUACUUUAAAUUUUUGUUGGUAUUUUCCCAUAAUCUAUAGUUAUUAAGGCAUUGAUAUUUUCUCAAAUUAUAGAAUUAAGUUCUAAAACAACAUUUAUUUUGACAUAGAUGAACAUUUGAAAGAUUAUAAUUUAUCUUUAACUUAUUUUUCUUUAUAACCAAAAUCUUUUCUCUCGAUUUUUCAUAAUAUUUGAUUAUGAUUAAUUAUUCAUGCAUACAAUCUAGGUCUGAAUCUAUUAUCUUCAACACUUAUUUUUAUUUUUUUAUGUCAUGUUUGAAAAUUUACUUUAGAUAGUAAGUCAAUAAAUGUUUCUAAAGGUAAAUGAGUGUUUGGUAUUAUGAUUCUUAGAUCUUGACUAGUAAGGGAUUCUUUAUAAUUUGUUCAUUUUAUUACUUGAGCUAAUUUAAUUCUCUAUUUAUUAAUUUCUUAUAUUUCAUCAUGUAAAUUUUGAAUAGUUAUAAGUUUGUGAAUAGUUUUGAAUCUAUUAAAUAUUUCAUCUAUAAUAUUGAUUAGAUUUGGGUUCUUGAAGUCUACUUAUCUCUUUAAUUUGUAAGAAUUAAAUCUUUUAAAUAUAACAAAUAUUGAAUUUUUAUGUUGAAUCCUCUAUUUUAUGACAUCAAAAAAUAUUUAUUUAUUUACUUUUGAAUAAAUCAUAUUUAUUAUUUUAUAUGAACAAACAUACUCACUUUCACAUUCAUUUUCAUCAUUAGAGUCUUCUAGACUAAUUAUAUUGGUUUAAUGUGUCUAGUAUUUGUGAUAAAUUUCAUAAAAAUAUUCAAGUGUAAAUAUUAAACUACAUAGUAUACUGUCACAUAUGACACAUUUCAAAUAGUAAAGACUAAAACCAUAAUUAAAGAUAACUUAGGUUUUAUUUUUUUUGUCAAAAAUAUUAUAAUUUUAAUUAAUUGAAUUAUUAAUUUUUCAAAAAUUUAGAAAAAAUAAAAAAUAGUAUUUUAAAAUUUGGCUCUCUUGAAAAUCAUGAGAGGAUAAAAAUUGGUAAAAAAAUAAAUAAAUUUAGAAAAGGUUAUUGAGAUUAAUUAAGUACAUCCUUGCCAUGAUAUUUAAUAUUUUUUUUAUGUUUUAUAAAUAGGGUAAAUGGACAUCGUUCUAAAUACAGGAAGAUGAUAUUAUUAUAUAUAAAAAAAAUGUAAAAAUAGUGAGUAAUAUUAUUAAAAAUAUCUCAUGGAAUGGGGCAAGAUAAAGGGCCAAAAAAAAAAAAAUUAGAGAAGAAAGAAGAAAAAGAAGAGUGUUGUAAGCACAGGAAGUCAAAAGUACUGUAUAAGCGUGAUUCAUCCCUGUUUCCUACUUCGAUUAUAAAGUAUGGACAGAGAUACAGAAAAAAAAAAAGAGAAGAAGCAGCAUUCAGCUUUCACCAGUGCAGAGUGGUAUGGUGGUGUAGCAUAUGUUUGGUUGUUAUUCUUGCUCCAAACAAGUGUGAGCUGAUCCAUUUCUAUACUCAUUUUUGUUAUCUCAGUCGACUGAUUCGUUUAGUGGGCCUGGUGUUAGCCAAAAGCUAGCCACCAAUUUUCUUUGCUUUAUCCCAUUACAUUAGAAUAAAAAGAAAAUGGAGGUUUGAGAGGGCCAUUGGGACCAUUGGGACCAUUAUCAGUUGUCUUUUGUUUUCAAGUUGUAAGAAGUCCUGUCAAGGUUUAUGUCAUUUGCUAUGUUGUUUCUGUUCCAUUUUCAGUUCAAAGAGUGGUAGAGUAGAGAAGGAGGCAUGGCUCAGACAUUUGGGUGCAGCUCUGGAGAUAGUAGAUGGUCUCUCAAGGGAAUGACUGCUCUUGUAACUGGUGGAACUAAAGGAAUUGGGUUGGUGUUACCUGUUUUUAUGUCUUUGGGUUUGGACUAUACCUUCCUAUAUAUAAACGUAUGUAUCAAUUCUGCAGGCAUGCAAUUGUGGAGGAACUGGCUGGAUUAGGAGCAACCAUACACACGUGUUCUCGAAAAGAAACUGAGCUCAAU